rnacentral:rRNA from 1 species
UGGGGAAUAUUGCACAAUGGGGGAAACCCUGAUGCAGCGACGCCGCGUGAACGAAGAAGGUAUUCGUAUCGUAAAGUUCUGUCCUAUGGGAAGAUAAUGACAGUACCAUAGAAGAAAGCUCCGGCUAAAUACGUGCCAGCAGCCGCGGUAAUACGUAUGGAGCGAGCGUUGUCCGGAAUUAUUGGGCGUAAAGGGUACGCAGGCGGUUUAAUAAGUCGAAUGUUAAAGAUCGGGGCUCAACCCCGCAAAGCAUUGGAAACUGAUAAACUUGAGUAGUGGAGAGGAAAUGGGAAUUCCUAGUGUAGGGGGGAAAUACGUAGAUAUUCGGGGGAAUACCAGAAGCGACGUCGACUUUCUGGACACAAACUGACGCUGAGGUACGAUAGCGUUGGGAGUAACCAGG